AAAAAACGUUGUCUUAUUGCCUGAAACGAGCAAAUAUUAAGUAAACCCAAAAUUCAUAAAUAAAAAAAAUAUAUAUUCAGAAAAACAAAU